rnacentral:lncRNA from 1 species
CUAGAAGAACUGGUCUGUAAGCCUAUCUGAAUUUCCGCAUCUGGAAAGGCUCAUGUUGUCUGUCAUGUUAGUGCACUGGGACAAGACUUCUGAUGGAAAUACUUAAUUCUCAGAGCGGUGCUGGAUAAUGAGGGGACGUGCCAAACGAGUGAUGCCUAUAAGCUAUGAAAGAUGAUGAAAGUGGGUAAAGAAGUAUCUAGAUAACAUCAAGGCAUUUACUAUAAGUGAAGAUCAUAAAAUUGCCCUGGCAGAGGAGGAGAAAACGCAAAAGUAUUUGGCAGGCUUUUGCGGAUCCUUCUCCUU